UUGGGAACUAGCCCGGGUGGUUAGGCGUCACCUGUAACCCGAAACCGCCAUUAUGCGGGGGGCGAAUGACCGGGACGGCUUUGGCGAUCCUGUCAUAGCCUGAUAAUUCCAACUGAGAAGCCUUGUCCUGUGAGACUAGCGGAGGAGGAUCGAUAUUCCGGAGGGAAUGGAGACUUUUUGCCGUGGGGACCGGUUCAGGCCCGGAAGGGAGCAGACUUACCAUGGACGUCUGGUGCCCACAGGGUUGCAGGGUGGAGGAGGAGUUCCAGGUGCCGGCAGGACACGUAAUUCCAACCCGGCUCGCGUUCCCGU
rfam:Methanoplanus petrolearius DSM 11571, complete genome.